AACGAAGGCCCGGGGCUUGCCCCGGUCACCUUAGUGGCGAACGGGUGAGUAACGCGUGGGAACCUGCCCAGGAGCGGGGAAUAACCUCGGGAAACUGAGGCUAAUACCGCAUACGCCCUCCGGGGGAAAGGCUUCGGCCACUCUUGGAUGGUCCCGCGUCUGAUUAGCUUGUUGGUGAGGUAACGGCUCACCAAGGCGACGAUCAGUAGCUGGUCUGAGAGGACGGUCAGCCACACUGGGACUGGGACACGGCCCAGACUCCUACGGGAGGCAGCAGUGGGGAAUAUUGGACAAUGGGCGAAAGCCUGAUCCAGCAAUGCCGCGUGAGUGAAGAAGGCCCUAGGGUUGUAAAACUCUUUCAGUCGUGAUGAUGAUGACGGUAGCGACAGAAGAAGCUCCGGCUAACUCCGUGCCAGCAGCCGCGGUAAUACGGAGGGGGCUAGCGUUGUUCGGAAUUACUGGGCGUAAAGCGCACGUAGGCGGUGUAUCUAGUCAGAGGUGAAAGGCCUGGGCUCAACCUGGGAACUGCCUUUGAUACUGAUACGCUCGAGAGCGGGAGA
rnacentral:rRNA from 1 species